rnacentral:lncRNA from 1 species
AAAAUAUAGAACCUUAAUUUUUUUUGUUUCUGAAUUAUAUAAAUUAUGAAAUAUUUACUUAUUUCUUGUGUGUAAUAAUCACAUUAUAAGAGUAGCUAAUGGUCUUACAUCUUAAGGAUUCACAGCUUCCUGAUUUCUGAGAGUGUACAGAGAUCAAAAGUUGAAAAACUGCUGUUUUAAAUAACAGCACAAUUUAAGUAUUUUCAGUUUACACAAAUUCAUCCCAUAUAAUAAUAUUUUAUCAAGCUAUUAUAAGCAUAAAAUCCAUAUUUUAUUUCCUUAAAUUUAUAUACUGAUAAUCCUUAGCUUAAAAUAGUUUCAGCUUGAAAUUCCAUUUGUAAGUCAAUGCAGUCAUAAGUUGAAAAUAAUUUGCAUUUAUUAAUUUUCCACUUGUUAUUCAUAUAAUACAAUACAACUUUUUAUUAAACACAAAGCUAAAGAAACCAAAUAUAAAAUUGAUACUAUUGGUAGGUUCAAACAGUUCCAACUCGGGCGUAGGAAGAAUGACACAUACCCAGCCGGAAUCACAUGGUCAUCCGACUACCCCAGGGGCAUGCCUAGUCGAGCAGACCAGCCAGAUCUCCAUACAUAAAAGGGUAGCCAAGCAGCACCCUCCUGCACUUUUUUCAAAUAUCCUUCCAAGACGAGGAAAGACUCUCAGUAGCAGCAGCAAAAGAAACACCUACCAUGAAAGAAAAAAGAUGCUUAAGUCCAAAUAAGAAGAAAGUAUUUCUGUUGCAGCAGCAGUAAAGAGCUUCCUCUGGAUCAAAGAUCUGAUAAGAAAAAAGGUCCCCUUUCUUUUGCUGCUACUGCAACAGAAAUAAUAAUACUAGGUGCUUGUCCCAGCUCCACUGAUCCGACAGCCAUAACGACAUCUAUGUAUCUACCUUAUUAUACUCUCUUUGUACUACAACUGCUUUAUUAUACCUCUAUUUUACUAUACCUUCCAGCUUUACACUUGCUACUUUAUUAUACAUAUCGUUGGUUAACCCUCCAGAAGGCUACUUUGAUGAUUUUUGGAAAAUGUCUGUGGCUGUCAGUUCAGUGGAGCUGGGACGGGCACCUAGUAUUAUUAUUUCUGUUGCAGAAGCAGCAAAAGAAAGGGGACCUUUUUUCUUAUCAGAUCUUUGAUCUAGAGGAAUCUUUUUUACUGCUGCAGCAACACACUGUUCUUUUUUUGGACUUUGAGAUGAUCUUGUCUCAAAAUGGCAUCAUAGCUUAUCUGGGAUGACAUCAUCCAACAACUAGCUUGCUUUCUACUGCUGCUACUGCUGACAGAUACUGAACAAGAUCUUAGAAGGACUCUGCACUUUUUUUGUCGGAAGACCUUUACUCUGUUUGUAAUGCAAAUGGCAACAUCUAGUUAGCAGAUACAGACAUUCAGCCAUUUACUCUAUAUACCAGUUAAGACAUUAAAGCAUUUAUUUAGACUUCCCUUUGGAGGUCAAUGACCUACUAGGUAUAUGGUCUAGGAGAAAAUUCACUGUGUCUUUUCUAAUGUAGAUAACUCGAAUCUGAUUUCAGAUUUCUAAAGAGGAAAUGUCCAAAAUGGAAACACCUGGUUGGUAGUCAAUUUUAACUGAUGCGGACUUUUGUUAACAGACAACCAUCUGAAACAGGAAGUUGGCCUUUACUCUUUUGAUGGAGAUAAUAUUAUUUAGAAAUUAUUACUUAAG